rnacentral:rRNA from 1 species
AGGGUUUGAUUAUGGCUCAGAACGUACGCUGGCGGCACGCCUAACACAUGCAAGUCGAACGAAGUAGCAAUACUUAGUGGCAGACGGGUGAGUAACAUGUGGGUAUCUGCCCUUUGGCCUGGAAUAACACGAGGAAACUUGUGCUAAUACCGGAUAAGUCUUUACGGAGAAAGCUUUAUGCACCAUUGGAUGAGCCCGCACUUGAUUAGUUUGUUGGUGGGGUAAUGGCCUACCAAGACUUUGAUCAAUAGCUGAUUUGAGAGGAUGAUCAGCCACAUUGGGACUGAGACACGGCCCAAACUCCUACGGGAGGCAGCAGUGGGGAAUCUUGCACAAUGGAGGAAACUCUGAUGCAGCGAUGCCGCGUGAGUGAAGAAGGCCUUUGGGUUGUAAAGCUCUUUCGUCGGGGAAGAAAAUGACUGUACCCGAAUAAGAAGGUCCGGCUAACUUCGUGCCAGCAGCCGCGGUAAUAC